GAGGAAUAUUGGUCAAUGGGCGCAAGCCUGAACCAGCCAUGCCGCGUGAAGGAUGACAGCGCUACGCGUUGUAAACUUCUUUUGUACAGGAAGAAACACUUCUACG
rnacentral:rRNA from 1 species